GAUGAAGAACGUAGCGAAAUGCGAUAAGUAGUGUGAAUUGCAGAGUUCAGUGAAUCAUCGAAUCUUUGAACGCACAUUGCGCCCCUUGGUAUUCCAUGGGGCAUGCCUGUUCGAGCGUCAUUUGUACCUUCAAGCUUUGCUUGGUGUUGGGUGUUUGUCUCGCCUUUGCGUGUAGACUCGCCUUAAAAUAAUUGGCAGCCGGCGUAUUGAUUUCGGAGCGCAGUACAUCUCGCGCUUUGCACUCAUAACGACAGCGUCCAAAAGUACAUUUUACACUCUUGACCUCGGAUCAGGUAGGGAUACCCGCUGAACUUAAGCAUAUCAAUAAGCGGAGGA
rnacentral:misc_RNA from 1 species